rnacentral:rRNA from 1 species
UACAGAGGUCCCGAGCGUUGUUCGGAUUCACUGGGCGUAAAGGGUGCGUAGGCGGUGAGGUAAGUCGGAUGUGAAAUCUCCAAGCUCAACUUGGAAAUGGCAUUGGAAACUACCUUGCUGGAGGUUUGGAGGGGAGACUGGAAUUCUCGGUGUAGCAGUGAAAUGCGUAGAUAUCAAGAGGAACACCAGUGGCGAAGGCGAGUCCCUGGACAACACCUGACACUGAGGCACGAAAGCUAGGGGAGCAAACAGG